rnacentral:rRNA from 1 species
UGAGAGCGGCGGACGGGUGAGUAAUGCCUAGGAAUCUGCCUGGUAGUGGGGGAUAACGUUCGGAAACGAACGCUAAUACCGCAUACGUCCUACGGGAGAAAGCAGGGGACCUUCGGGCCUUGCGCUAUCAGAUGAGCCUAGGUCGGAUUAGCUAGUUGGUGAGGUAAUGGCUCACCAAGGCGACGAUCCGUAACUGGUCUGAGAGGAUGAUCAGUCACACUGGAACUGAGACACGGUCCAGACUCCUACGGGAGGCAGCAGUGGGGAAUAUUGGACAAUGGGCGAAAGCCUGAUCCAGCCAUGCCGCGUGUGUGAAGAAGGUCUUCGGAUUGUAAAGCACUUUAAGUUGGGAGGAAGGGCAGUUACCUAAUACGUGAUUGUUUUGACGUUACCGACAGAAUAAGCACCGGCUAACUCUGUGCCAGCAGCCGCGGUAAUACAGAGGGUGCAAGCGUUAAUCGGAAUUACUGGGCGUAAAGCGCGCGUAGGUGGUUUGUUAAGUUGGAUGUGAAAUCCCCGGGCUCAACCUGGGAACUGCAUUCAAAACUGACUGACUAGAGUAUGGUAGAGGGUGGUGGAAUUUCCUGUGUAGCGGUGAAAUGCGUAGAUAUAGGAAGGAACACCAGUGGCGAAGGCGACCACCUGGACUAAUACUGACACUGAGGUGCGAAAGCGUGGGGAGCAAACAGGA